AUUGAACGCUGGCGGCAUGCCUUACACAUGCAAGUCGAACGGUAACAGGUCUUCGGAUGCUGACGAGUGGCGAACGGGUGAGUAAUGCAUCGGAACGUGCCCAGUUGUGGGGGAUAACUGCUCGAAAGAGCAGCUAAUACCGCAUACGACCUGAGGGUGAAAGCGGGGGAUCGCAAGACCUCGCGCAAUUGGAGCGGCCGAUGUCAGAUUAGGUAGUUGGUGGGGUAAAGGCCUACCAAGCCGACGAUCGGUAGUUGGUCUGAGAGGACGACCAGCCACACUGGGACUGAGACACGGCCCAGACUCCUACGGGAGGCAGCAGUGGGGAAUUUUGGACAAUGGGCGCAAGCCUGAUCCAGCAAUGCCGCGUGCAGGAAGAAGGCCUUCGGGUUGUAGACUGCUUUUGUCAGGGAAGAAAUCCUCUGGGUUAACACCCCGGGGGGAUGACGGUACCUGAAGAAUAAGCACCGGCUAACUACGUGCCAGCAGCCGCCGUAACAC
rnacentral:rRNA from 1 species